AUUGAACGCUGGCGGAAUGCUUUACACAUGCAAGUCGAACGGUAGAGGGGGCAACCCCUCGAGAGUGGCGAACGGGUGAGUAAUAUAUCGGAACGUGCCCAGUCGUGGGGGAUAACGUAGCGAAAGUUACGCUAAUACCGCAUACGAUCUAAGGAUGAAAGCGGGGGAUCGCAAGACCUCGCGCGAUUGGAGCGGCCGAUAUCAGCUUAGGUAGUUGGUGGGGUAAAGGCUCACCAAGCCAACGAUCUGUAGCUGGUCUUAGAGGACGACCAGCCAAACUGGAGCGUGGACACGGUCCAGAAUCCUACGGGAGGCAGCAGUGGGGAAUUUUGGACAAUGGACGCAAGUCUGAUCCAGCCAUUCCGCGUGCAGGAUGAAGGCCCUCGGGUUGUAAACUGCUUUUGUACGGAACGAAAAGGUCUCUCUUAAUACGGGGGACUCAUGACGGUACCGUAAGAAUAAGCACCGGCUAACUACGUGCCAGCCGCCGCCGUAA
rnacentral:rRNA from 1 species